UACGUAGGGUGCAAGCGUUGUCCGGAAUUAUUGGGCGUAAAGAGCUCGUAGGCGGUCUGUCGCGUCGGAUGUGAAAAUCCAGGGCUCAACCCUGGACCUGCAUUCGAUACGGGCAGACUAGAGUUCGGUAGGGGAGACUGGAAUUCCUGGUGUAGCGGUGAAAUGCGCAGAUAUCAGGAGGAACACCGGUGGCGAAGGCAGGUCUCUGGGCCGCAACUGACGCUGAGGGACGAAAGCUAGGGGAGCGAAUGGG
rnacentral:rRNA from 1 species